GCCUAGUGUCAGUUGGUAGAGCAUUUGACUCUUAUGAGUUUCAUUGCUUCCAGCAAUGUCCAUCAAUUUGUCGUGGGUUCGAGCCCCACGUUGGGCG